UAUCACAGCUGUGCUUACUUUCUCUUUUCCAAUACAGAAGAGGUCCUGCAGCAAAAUUUGGAGGUCCUGCCAUAGCAGGGAAACCAGCAGAACCAAAAGUUGCUGUAUCAGCUGCAGAUGGAAAGCUCGGCACAUCUGGCAAAACUUCAGCUGUUAGAAAACCUGAUGGGAAGAAUAGUGCGGAGCCUGCUAGAGACAAAACUCCAGCUAUUAAAGGUAUAUUGUUGGUUAUUUGCCA